UGGAAUUUUUAAAUAUCUCUGUCCAUUUUAUGUCAUUAGUAUUGGAAUGAUCCAAUCUGAUCAGCAUUUUUCAGUCAUGAGUUUUGACUGCUUUUAAUUUCAAGUACUUGCUGUUCUAAUCUCAGAGCAGAUAUAGAAGUGUAAUUUGUUAUUUUGAGGUCUAUUUAUAAAACAGUGCCAUAUUCCAUCUAUGUUGUUUUACACAGUUGUAAUAGGCAAAACUUCUGCUAUCAGUAUAUUUCACUGCUGUGACUCUGUAGAGUGUGUUAGACCAAACAAAUUGCUGAUUACGUAUUCCAGCUAGCUCAGUAAUUUUUUGUUCAACACAAUCAGUUAGUUCUGCUUUUUUUUUUUUUUUUUUCAUAAGGUCAAAAAAGACUUUGCUGAACAUUAAUGCAGUAUUUGUCUAUGAAAGUCAUGUGCUUUUAUUUCUUCCACAGUGAUUAUUAUUGUAAAAUGGUAACUGUGAUGAUGACAGAUGAUUUUAAUAAUGUGUAUUAUUGUGAGUUUGUCUCAGGAUGGUGACUAUGAGAAAGAGGGAGCGUGCCGUCUGAUCUAUGCCACCAUACUUGUACCACUAUAAAUUAAGGCAUUGUGCGCCAUCUAAAAUACUCAAAUGUACAUUCGGUUAUUUAUAUUUGUAUGUAAUAAAAAAAAAAAAAAGAUUUUACUGUGAGACAUUUGAAAAGUGAAGUUAUUUUUACAAACAGAAAAAAUACACAUCAGAAAUAUGUAAAUUUACCUGAAUUAGAUUAAACAUUAAAUGUAAAAUGUUGCUUAAAACGGAACAUUUUAAAUCUAAAGAGCCACUGUAAGUUGUGGAAACAAAAUAUGGGUAGGUCAUUUGUAUGGGGCAUCACUCUCAACUGGCGUCCUUAUUUAGGUUUUCUAACUUAAAGGGGUCCUAUUAUGCUUUUUCACUUUUUGAAUUUUAGUUAGUGUGUAGUGUAUAUGUUUGGGCA